ACCCUGCUGAUCGGAAUAGUUGCACUCACCGAUGCAGCAGCAGAAACACCUCUUGCCCAAGAACCCACAACGGUCGGUCCCUGGACCCUGCGGAUGGGAAUAGUUGCACUCACUGACGCAGCAGCAGAAACACUAGUUUUCCUCCUAGACCACAAGGAGGACCGAGGAAGGUCGGAUUUAGUGGCCCUUACCAAUGCAUUC
rnacentral:lncRNA from 1 species